rnacentral:lncRNA from 1 species
AGCUGAAAAUCCUUUGAGAUGGAAGAAAUGGCUGGAACAAAGGGGCAGAGGAACAAAAAGCCCUGAACUGCUUCGCCCCUGCCUCGUGGGGUCUUUAUCAUCUUAAACCUUGGGAUUUGAACAUCUGUCCAGUCCCUGGGAUGGUGAGGCUAUAACCACAAAGGAAUAAGAGAAGACGACUAGUUUUGUAAUGGCUUUGAAUGAUGCAUUGGCCCACGUGGACCACCUUCCAUUUCCCAAGACUUUUUGAAGGCAAUGAAUGAGAAGAAAGCAGAGAAAACAGUGGGCGUGAGGUCAGAUGACUCAGGCUUGAGUACUGAUCACAUCAAGGAUUGGACGCACUGCUCUUAGGAAGGCACAACUUCUACUACUUUCAGUCUUAUCAACUGUGAGAGUGUACCCUUGCUGUAGAUGCCACCCGCCCAGCAGUCCUCAUCAUCUUGGCCCAGGAUCACCUGAAACAGAUGAUCCUCCUUUUGAGCUACCAUCAGAAGGUCCACAGUACUAGCCCAGCGCUACAUCCCAAUGCCUACGCCAUUCAUCUCACCUCAUCUCAUCACGUAGACAUUUCAUCAUGUCACAUCAUCACAAGAAGGGAAUCUAUUCACAAAUAAGGUUUUGUGGAUUCAACAGCUUUACUGAAGAUAUGUAGAUUGUUGUUAGCGCUUCCUACCUUGCACAGCCUCUUGUCCCGUCACUGGCCCCAUGCAUCUUCCUCUGCUGCCUUCAAGAAGCUCCAGAUCCUGCCACAGACGUGCUCCACUCAGAGGACUGGAGUCCAAUCCCCUGACAGUGCUUUUCUCUUUGGGAAGCACCCCCUCCCCCACUGCCAUUAAACCUCUGGAAUUCUAUGGAAUAAAGUAAACAUUAACUUA